GACGAACGCUGGCGGCGUGCUUAACACAUGCAAGUCGAACGGAAAGGCCCCUUUGGGGGUACUCGAGUGGCGAACGGGUGAGUAACACGUGAGUAACCUGCCCUUGACUUCGGGAUAACUUCAGGAAACUGGGGCUAAUACCGGAUAGGAAUCCUUGCUGCAUGGUGGGGGUUGGAAAGCUUCGGCGGUUUUGGAUGGACUCGCGGCUUAUCAGCUUGUUGGUGGGGUAGUGGCUUACCAAGGCUUUGACGGGUAGCCGGCCUGAGAGGGCGACCGGCCACAUUGGGACUGAGAUACGGCCCAGACUCCUACGGGAGGCAGCAGUGGGGAAUAUUGCACAAUGGGCGGAAGCCUGAUGCAGCAACGCCGCGUGCGGGAUGACGGCCUUCGGGUUGUAAACCGCUAUCAGCAGGGGCGAAGCUUGUGGUGACGGUACCUGCAGAAGAAGCACCGGCUAACUACGUG
rnacentral:rRNA from 1 species